CUGCAACCUGUAGUGAUUCUGGCGACCGCGUGGUGGCGAGAACUUGGCGGCGAAUUCGAUGGCCAAAAAAUUGGCAUGCCAACGUUUUGGUAGGGCUCUUGUGGGCAUCAUCCAAACAUGCCCUUGGUAAUAGAAAUCCCCCUCCUUUGACUCUGUUCGAUUUUGCUAGCUAUCCUUGUUGUAGAUCAUAGGGUUGUCAUCUUCAUAUGUCAUAUGAUAUAUAAUUGAUGCAAAAUGCAGCUGACCCAUCGUGUAUCUGAAACCAUUUAUCUGUAGUUGUGUUCUUUUUGGUAUAUCUGAAUAUGACUAAAGAUGUUUGAAGAAAUGGAUGGCCAAAACGGUGGUAUCUUUGGCCAGAUGACUGGACCAUCUUCUAUGAUCCAGAGGAAGCACCUCUUGCACAGACAUGUAUAUUUAUUUGUGAAUCCGAUCCUAACAAGAGUAUUUGACCUUUAACAUUUUUCUGACAGAAAGUAUGAGCACCUAAAUUUCUUGGAAUUUAAUAGCUCCUAAAACAGAUGUUUUGUCAUAGUGAAGGAACCAGAGGGGAGGAUAUAUAGAUCACCCAUGCCUCCACUACGCCACCUGCUGUUGGAUGGCACUGGCCGUCCAAGCGUGUGGAACUGGAAGGACUGUCCAUCAUGGCGGCACAGCUCAUCUCGGAGGAGAAAAGACCAAGGUCCUGCAGGUUUCAAGUGCUACAUAUAGGAGGAGGCAGGAGUGGCUGCAAUCUUGCUACGAAAUGACACUUAUGGAGCUUCUUUACCUAACAUGGCCAAGAAGUCCGCAAAAUCCAGUGAGCAUAGAGUAUAGCCGGUUGGAUACAUAUCUGCAGAGUGCAUGUAGUGUGUGUGUCAGAUAUACAGUGGAAAAACACCACAAUGCAAGUGUCAGAUCCUGUUCUUGAUGCAAUUUUGCGACUCUAUUCUGGACUGUAAGCAAUUGGUUGAUGUUAAGCUGAAACUCGGAUCAGUCUCGUGGCUCUUCUGUACCUAUAUGCCUAGAUUAUUUACUAAUGGUAUAUGAACUAUAUCUUCCUAUAUAGGAUGAUCAAUUGCCAGGAAUAGAAAGACUAUGGUUUUGAUUUU